rnacentral:lncRNA from 1 species
AGAGGGGGGCACCCCUUGUAAUCCGCGCGUGUUAAUAGUGAUCCCAUGCUACUCGAGACGAUGGUCUCCCCGCCUUAAAGUUUCUCUUGAAUGAUGCUUUGGGUGAUUCCUGGCAUCCGGAAAGUUAAUCUGGUGUGUGCUGGUCAGGCGUGUUUUCAACCCAAAGGCUGUAACGUGAAUUAGUCGGUGUCUCGGUGCUGGCUAAAGAAAUCCUUUACUUGUGGGUAAAGAGUACACCCUCUGCCGAGUUAUAUCUAUUCGAAUAGCCGUGUCCAUGGUUAAGGACUACAGUCUGGGUUGGUCAAGUGUAGGUCUUAGUGUCAGUCUCCGGAGGAAAUAAUUAGUGAUCAUGGUUCCUUUUGCAGGAUAAUGAUUGUCACUACUGGUGCUAUUAUGAAUAUUAUUGUUGAUAUGGAUAUUGUUGUGGACUAACCCUUUUCCUCUUAUGUUUAACCUUGAGUACCUCUUGGGAUGGCUAGACUACCCGAGAUACUCAGGUUUAUUUUCGUUUCUGAGUAUCACUUGGGAUGGCUAGUCCACCUGGAUACUCGUGUCAUUAUUUUCUUAUAAGCCCUUUAUGAGGCGUCGCUCAGACACCCGACUGUGGCAUUUAUUUUCAAGACCUCUCAUGGCGUCGCUUGAGUUCUCGGGCGGUCCUAUCUCACCCGAUUCUCUUUUAGACACACGUUUGGCAUUUCUUUUCAAGACCUCUCGUGGCGUCGCUUGAGUUCUCGGGCGGUCCUG